rnacentral:rRNA from 1 species
AGAGUUUGAUCCUGGCUCAGGACGAACGCUGGCGGCGUGCUUAACACAUGCAAGUGGAGCGACGAACCAGGCUUCGGCCUGGGGCAAAGCCGCGAACGGGUGAGUAACACGUGGGUAACCUGCCCCGAUGAUUGGGACAACCCGAGGAAACUCGGGCUAAUACCGAAUGUGCCCUCCGGUCAUAAGGCCGCUGGGGAAAGGAAGCUUCGGCCUCCGCAUCGGGAUGGGCCCGCGGCCCAUUAGCUUGUUGGUGAGGUAACGGCUCACCAAGGCGACGAUGGGUAGCUGGUCUGAGAGGACGAUCAGCCACACUGGGACUGAGACACGGCCCAGACUCCUACGGGAGGCAGCAGUGGGGAAUCUUGCGCAAUGCGCGAAAGCGUGACGCAGCAACGCCGCGUGGGGGAAGAAGGCCUUCGGGUUGUAAACCCCUUUCAGUUGGGACGAAGCUCCGUCGGUUAACAGCCGGCCGGAGUGACGGUACCUUCAGAAGAAGCCCCGGCUAACUACGUGCCAGCCGCCGCGGUAAUUC